AUGCGCCGCCGGUCGGCAGAAGGCCUUCCCGCGAUGGAUCCAAAUAGGGCGUUGGAUCCGCAGUCACCAUCCCGACCAGAACAGCCCACCCCGUCGGAUGGGGCGCUGCCACCGCCGCCGUCCAUUCAGGGCCGCCGCUCCGCCGGCGAUGGUGCUCCGGCCAUCACCGCACGGCCUGGGCUCCGGCCGUCCACCAAGGAGAGAGAGGCAGAGGCGCGCCACCAGCUGCUGCUCCACGGCGUGAGCCUGGACCUGCGUCUCGACACGGCCACGCACCAGCGCGGCGCCCGGCGCCCGGCGUCCCCCGCGCCUACUCCCGUGGCCCUCGACCACGCAGGCAAGGAGGCUUUCUCGUGCAACUACUGUCACCGCAAGUUCUUGAGCUCCCAGGCGCUCGGCGGCCACCAGAACGCGCACAAGCUCGAGCGCACCCUUGCCAAGCGCAGCCGCGACGUCCCCUCCGAAACCGUCGCCACCGGGACUGCUUCCUCUUCCACGGCCGUCCACAGCUUGCUCCACGCCGGCGGCGGGGAGCUGUGGGGGUACUCUGCUUCGCCCGCUGCUCCGGACUCCGCGACGAUGGCGCCACUGAUGGGCAUGGGGACGGGCCGGGCUGGCACCGCAGCGGCCGGCGGGGAGGCGGUGGCGGAGAUGGACCUGUCGCUCAAGCUCUGA
rnacentral:rRNA from 1 species